rnacentral:lncRNA from 1 species
UAGGGUUUAGUUAGGAUUUGGUUUAGGAUUUAGGGUUCGUUAGGGUUAGGAUAUGGAUUAGGAUUUGGUUUAGGAUUUAGAGUUUGUUAGGGUUAGCAUCUGGAUUAGGAUUUGGUUUAGGAUUUAGGAUUUAGAAUUUGGUUUAGGAUUUGAUUUAGGGUUUAAAGUUUGGAUUAGAGUUUGGAUUAGGAUUUGGAUUUUGGUUUAGGAUUUGAUUUAGGAUUUGGUUAGGAAUUGAUUUAAGGUUUAGGAUUUGAUUAAGGUUUGAUUAGGAUUUGAUUUAGGAUUUAGGAUUUAUUUAGGAUUUGAUUAAGGUUAGAUUAGGAUUAGGGAUUGGUUAGAAUUUAAGGUUUUAUUAGAUUUUUGUUAAGGUUUGACUAAGUUUUCUUUAAUAUUCUUUUAUAUUUUUUUAGGAUUUCCUUGUGUUUCUUUUAUAACUUCAAUACAAUUUAAUUGAGCUUGCUUAAUGUUUGAUUAUGAUUAUUAAUGUUUAAUUAUAAAUUCUCUAUAAUUUUAUUGGAUUGUUAGGACCUUUUGUUACAAUUUUUUUUUAUCUUCCACAGCCAAGUGCUCGGUA